rnacentral:tRNA from 1 species
GCCGAAGUGGUGGAAUUGGUAGACACGCACGAUUGAGGGUCGUGUGGGGCAACCUAUGCGGGUUCGAGUCCCGCCUUCGGCACCA